CCAGAAAGGCAUUGGUACAGAGAGGUGGGGCUCCUCCCCAGGUCUCAACCAGCCCCCACCCACUCUGGGCUCGGCCUGGUGGUCUUUAAGAGAGAUAUUUGCCGACUGACCUGCCUGUCACUUAUACUGGGAACCUAGGUCUAGCUCACUGCCCCAGGCAUGAUGCGGGUCCCAGCGCUGCUUCUGGUUUUCCUGGCUCCUGUCAUGCAGGUGUCUUCCAACAUGGAAGGGGAGAAGAUGUCAAUUACUAAGGCAGCUGUGCCUGGGGCAUUUGUUGAAAUCAUUUGUGAUCUUAUCACCCAAACCGUCAAAUAUAUCCACUGGUACAAGUACCAGGAGGGCACAGCUCCCCGACGCCUUCUUUACUACGACAUCUCCUACUCAAAGAUUGUGUUGGAAUCAGGAAUCAGUGAAGGGAAGUACAAAGUUUAUAAAGAGAAGAGCUAUACUUUUGCAAUCUCAAACCUGCAAGAAAGUGAUUCUGGAAUGUACUACUGUGCUGUCUGGGAGAAGCACGUUGGUUUAGACUUCCUUUACACUGCACUGGAAAUUUUGCUUGUCACGGCCAAGCACAGCCAUGAUAGAGACUUUGAUGUAGACAUGUCCCCCAAGCCCACUAUGUUUCUUCCUUCAAUUCCUGAAAUCAACUGCGAUAAUGCUGGAACGUACCUUUGUCUUCUGAAGAAAUUUCCCCUCAUGUUAUUAAGGUUUAUUGGAGAGAGAAAAAUGGCAACAGAGUUCUGCCAUCCCAACAGGGAAACACCACAAAGACCACUGACAUAUACUUGAAGUUCAGCUGAUUAACCAUGACUGAAAAUGCAUGGAGAAAGAACACAUACGUAUCAUCAAACAUGAGAAAAAUAAAAGAGGAAAAGAUCAGGAGAUCUUUUUUCCUUCAGUUAGUCAAGUUGUCACUUCAAUUGUCAUUACUAUUGAACUUCCAAAUAAUGGUUUGAUGGAUGAAAGUGAAGUCACUGAUGUUCAUUCUACAAAAGCACGUCUGAACGAUGGAAACAAUACCCUGCAACUACAGCUCAUGAACACCUCUGCCUACUACACCUACUUCCUCCUCAUCCUCAAGAGUGUGGUCUAUUUUGUCAUCAUCACCUUCUCUGUGUUUACAAGAGGCAUCUGCUGUGAUGGAAAGAGCUCGUGA